GUAGGGUGCGAGCGUUAAUCGGAAUUACUGGGCGUAAAGCGUGCGCAGGCGGUUGGCAAAGUCAGCUGUGAAAGCCCCGGGCUUAACCUGGGAAUGGCGGUUGAAACUAGUCGACUAGAAUCUGGCAGAGGGGGGUGGAAUUCCACGUGUAGCAGUGAAAUGCGUAGAGAUGUGGAGGAACACCGCUGGCGAAGGCAGCCCCUUGGGCUGAGAUUGACGCUCAGGCACGAAAGCGUGGGGAGCAAACAGGAUUAGAUACCCUGGUAGUCCACGCCCUAAACGAUGUCAACUAGGUGUUGGGAGCGCAAGUUCUCAGUACCGCAGCUAACGCGUGAAGUUGACCGCCUGGGGAGUACGGUCGCAAGAUUA
rnacentral:rRNA from 1 species